rnacentral:rRNA from 1 species
UACGUAGGGACCGAGCGUUGUCCGGAAUCAUUGGGCGUAAAGAGCGUGUAGGCGGCUUGCUAAGUCUUGCGUGAAAUCUCGGGGCUCAACCCCGAGCGGUCGUGGGAAACUGGCAGGCUAGAGUGCGGGAGAGGAGAAUGGAAUUCCUGGUGUAAGCGGUGAAAUGCGCAGAUAUCAGGAAGAACACCCGUGGCGAAGGCGGUUCUCUGGAACGCAACUGACGCUGAGACGCGAAAGCGUGGGGAGCAAACAGG